GACGAACGUUGGCGGCGUGCUUAAUACAUGCAAGUCAACUGAAGCAGUGGUAGCAAUUUCGCUGUGGCGGUGGCGCACGGGUGAGUAACACGUAGGUAAUCUGCCUUCAGGUCUGGCAUAACUCCGUGAAACCGGGGCUAAUAGCAGAUGAUGCAGCGGCUCGACAUCGAGACAGUUGUUAAAGCUAUGGCGCCUGAAGAUGAGCCUGCGUCUGAUUAGCUAGUUGGCGGGGUAACGGCCCACCAAGGCAACGAUCAGUAGCUGGUCUGAGAGGAUGAUCAGCCACACUGGAACGGAGACACGGUCCAGACUACUACGGGAGGCAGCAGUAAGGAAUAUUGCUCAAUGGGAGAAAUCCUGAAGCAGCAACGCCGCGUGAGGGACGAAGGGCUUUAGCUUGUAAACCUCUGUAGGGAGAGAAAAAAAUCCCAAUCUUUGGGACAUGAUGGUAUCUCAAAAGUAAGCCCCGGCUAACUACGUG
rnacentral:rRNA from 1 species